rnacentral:RNase_P_RNA from 1 species
GGAGUUGGCUAGAUCGUCGCCGCUUUAAUGGGUUGGUAACUUGUUAUCAAUGUUAUUAGAGGGGAGGAAAGUCCGGGCUUCAAAGGGCAGGGUGCCAGGUAACGCCUGGGUAGCGCGAGCUAACGACAAGUGCAGCAGAGAGGAGACCGCCUGCUAAUUUAUUAGUAGGUAAGGGUGAAAGGGUGCGGUAAGAGCGCACCGGCUAAUGGGUAAUCAUUAGUGCAAGGUAAACUCCACCCGAAGCAAGACCAAAUAGGCUUCCUGAGGUAUGGCCCAUACUGGAAGCGGGUAGGUUGCUUGAGCCUGUGAGCGAUUGCAGGCCUAGACGAAUGACGAUUCACGACAGAACCCGGCUUAUCGGCCAACUCCAACC